rnacentral:misc_RNA from 1 species
GGAUUGCUAACAACAAGAUGGAUUCUAAGAGGUAGUGGGCAGGUAGUGGAUGGUGAUAAUGGGGUCAUGUAUACCCACAAGGAUGUAACUCAUAUUCAAGCAAAUGGUUUUAUACCUCCCUCACUCCAUAAAGAAGAAAAUGGAGGCAUUGGCAUUCAUUGAUGAUGAUGCCUUUAUCAUUAGCUGUUGUCUCUCUCAUCUUGUGAUGUUUCCAAGUCCAUCUCAGAGUCACUGAUGCUUCUUUUUAUUAGUAUACGUAAUCUUUCCUUUGGUAGUAUCCGUUGACUGAAAUGUUGUGGGCCUCAUCCUGAGUAUUGUCUACAAAGGAUCAGACCCAUUUUGUGGUGUGGAAAAAUGGCUUUCUAUUGUAAUAAUCU